rfam:Chaetomium globosum CBS 148.51 scaffold_2 genomic scaffold, whole genome shotgun sequence.
GGCCCCAUAGCUCAAUUGGUAGUAGCGUUCGACUCCAGAUCGAAAGGUUAUCCGUUCAAGUCGGGUUGGGGUCA